rnacentral:snoRNA from 1 species
AUCUUUUUGUGGUUCAUAAGCAUGACGAAUGGGUGUUCAUGCGUUUGUGUGAGGUGUGCCUCCCUCCAGCCUUGUUACGACGUUGGCACAUUAUCCAUCUGACG